GCCUUGGCUCCCAGCAGCAUGAAGAUCAAGGUUGUUGCCCCACCAGAGAGAAAAUACAGUGUCUGGAUUGGAGGAUCAAUUCUUGCAUCUCUCAGCACUUUCCAACAGAUGUGGAUUUCAAAGGGUGAAUAUGAUGAGUCUGGUCCAUCUAUUGUCCACAGAAAGUGCUUCUAAGGUGCAAUUAUCUGCCUUCAGGGGAAGUUCACUUUUUACCUCUUUAGUUGGCUUUUCUUGUUAUGUUUCAAGCGAAUUUGGUCGAGUUGACGUCGAGAAGUUUUGAAGUGGGGCUGCGCAAAGAUGGUAUAAUUUGAUUCAGAUAUAUGGUCAAUUUUCAACUCAUGGGGCUAAUGUUCUUGUUAAUUUAUGAUUGAGAAGAAUGCAAUGACCUUUUCUUUCUUGGUGCAUUGUGCUUUAGAUGUGUCGUUAAUAGGCCAUAUUUGUAGUUUGGGAGUUGUGAUUGUAAUGUUUCUUGCUUAACCCUUUCCUUUCCUGUGUAUUUCUUUCGAAGUUCGUCUCGGGAACAGUAUUGUUAAUAUCUGUUUUAUAAGAAUUUGCAUCGGCUAUAUCAAAUACUGGCUUGAG